GCCAGAGGUGUUACCAUCACAGCCAUCACAUGGGUACACCUCAGAUCUUCAGUGCAAAAAACAGAUGGCAAACUGCAAAACUCCAGAGACUGUGAGCUUAAACAGGCACUGCAGAAUGUGCAUGGAUCUGCUGAGGGGGUCUCACCGUGUUUUCUGGACAUCUGGGUCUGCUGAAGGAGUAGUCAUGUGAAGCAGGACAGUUGCAAUCCAUGUUUGUAAAAUGGUGUGAUCAGGAAAUUACUGCAGUUUGGAUGUCUGAAUAUGAUGGGACUCCUUGAGUGGCAGAACAAAAAGGUUGUUGCAUUUGCUGUUUGUAUUUUCCUGUGGAGUUUAAAGAAAACAGGAGCACCAAGCAGGUAUAUAGCUCUUGGGGCAAGUAACAGGUAUCCAAAGCAAUCUACCGAAUAUUUUUGUCAGCUAAAGAGAAUUCUGUCCCUUCCACUCCAUGUGGUUAUGCUGCUUGAAAAAGCUCCUUGGUAGAAGAAAACAAGCAUGUCUGCUGGUACCAGGUACAGGGUGCGUUCACAGGUGUGCUGGGCAGAGCCUAACUCUAUGAAGCCCCAGAUUCAGCAGUCAGGGCACAGCAGGAGAGCUGUGGGAAGACAGCUGCUGGCCCAGGGUUGCAGCAGGACAAUUCUGACCAAAUCCACCAUGUGCUUCUGCAACUCUGGAGAAGAUGCUGUUCUACUGAUUAAGUGUGGGAUUUGUUAAUAUAACAGUUUUGACUGAGCGCACAGCCUAACUGUGCUUGCAUAAACUGUGUCUUUGCUACUGGUUACGCUCAUUCUCAGAGGACCAAUGCUGCCUGUAUGGAUAGCACCCUAGCAAAGAACAAAGAAGACGAUUGUGAAGAGGCAGACAAUCACUAACAGUUAUAAAUUAUUCAAGAACAAAAUGUUCAAGUAAUAUUGACCUAAAGGUAUCAUCACACAUUUUUCUCCAGUGGAUGAAAUCAUCUAGUUAGUAUUCAAGAACUACCCAAAUAAAACUGAUUGAUGUUAACUGAGCAGACCGGGGAAAAUUUCAUCAGGAUGCCCAAAUUCUGUUCCUUCUUGCUUAAUCAAUCACACCUCUGCUAAGUUGUGCAGCAUUUUGUUACAAAAGUCUUAGCAAAGAAAUUGGUCUGUGGCACAAUGAAUAAAACAUUUGCCUUAGUGGUAGAGUAAUGAUCCUUAAGUGCCUCUAGAAAAAUGAGCUGCAAAGACUUCUUCCUUUAACAGAGAGACUUGAAGUAACCGCUAAUAAGGUAAAAAGAGGGAUAUUUAAGGGUGGGGAUAAAAAAGGGAAUGCACCUCUUAUUUGAAGUGCCAGCCCAAUCCCUUGAACAAAUACACAUCCAUGGGAUCCUGAGGUAUGAGUUUGUUUUUAUCCAGUCACCUCUUUCCUACUGCAGUUUUUACACCAUCAUUAAUCACCUUAAUCUUUUCUCGUUCUGUUUUCACGGCGCUUAUUGUGUCACCACAAAGGCAUUGAUCAAGUGGUGGCUGACAGGAUGCAGCUAUUUACUUUGAAGCAGUGGGAGCAUACAGGGCAGGGAAGCACAGUGAAAAUCUGCAUUGGCUGGCACUUACAAUUCCUGAACGAUUCAUACGUCUCCUUGAACACGUCCCCAAAGGCAAAGAAUAAUGACUUAGGUUUCCUUACAGAAAUGUCAUUUUUAUCUGAGGCAUAAAGUAGUAAAAGGAAGAAAAAACCACUGCAUAUUAAGUGUGCUUAAAAAGAUUUAUUUAAAGAUAAUUACAGAGGAAUGUAAAACAAGUGACUGAAUGGUGGGGGAUUAUUUACUGUCAUUUCAAAUUAACUUACUUUAAAUCCAUCUAAAACAUCCUUGAAUUUAAGAUAAGGCCUUUCUCCUGAUUUCUGUUUUAAAAAUAGAAAGGGAGAAGCAAGAGCGACCACUGUUUUAGGGUGUGUAUUUAAUUAAAUAAUAUUAUUGCUAGACAGCUGCUGAACAAUAAAAUACUCCUUUAAGAAAGCACUGAUUUGAAAACUAGUGUGAGGUCAUGUAACCUCAUUAUUCUCUUUACAUCUUCCAUUAGGUCAAAAUACCAAUACCUUUUGCAGUAACUUUCAUCUCAGGCAGCAUAUGCCAGCAUUUCGCUUUCAACUCUGGCUUUUUUAUUCUUCACAAGGAUUACAAUCUGCAACACCGCUGCUUCAUUUUCAUUACAUUGCUGUUCUAUCUUUUAGGGGAAAUCAGUUUCACAUUGUGUUAUUCUUAUACUCCUUAACAAGGUUUAGAAAGAAAAAGAAAAGAAAAAGAAAAAAUGAAUCCUUUUAAAUUAAGAGGUCCCAGUUUGAUAGCACUUCCCAAAUCAAAAAAAAAAAAAAAAAAAAAAAAAAAAAAAAAAAAAGAAAAAGAAAAAGAAAAAGAAAAUAAAAGAAAGCUCUAUUAUAUGAAUAGUUUGCUUGCAAAGGAUAUGCAGCAGUGGAACAUUCAAAUCCCAACUGUCUAAGCCAAAGUCAUUGAUGUGUAUUAUCUGCUGGCUGCUAUCAUUAACAAGGCAGCUUUAAAAGGACAAUUCUUAAAGCCUGGACAAUUUCUUUGGGCUAAAACUCUGAGGAUGGCCUCUCUAUCCUUUAGCUGAAGAAAGAAAUUCUCUUGCGUGUGAACAUAUAUAAAAAAUGUGUCUCCUCUUGCUGGACUGUCACAGUCUUUUUCAGAGUUUCUUUGCUUGAUUCCUAAUACCCUUUCUGUGCAAGGCUAAGACCAUUUCUGAACAUUUACACAGAAUAAUAAUAAAGUCCUCUGGCUGAUUAGUAGCAUGCAAAGCCCUCCUUACAAGUCUUUCAUAGGUAUCUGCCAUGGCUUUCCUCAACCUCCUUAGAAGGAAGAUUUUAGGAGAAAGCCUAAUGUAUUCUAUCCAAUGAUUUUGUAGGAGUUUAUGUGAGUGUACUGACCUACAAUUUUCUUAUUGUCAUAGUUUUAUGUGGAGUAAAGUUGUGUUUUCUGAUUCCUUGAUUUACUUUUAUAUUUGGAGGAUGCGGGGGAGCGGAGGGAGGGAAGAAGCUAGAACUUACCAAUCUGGCCCCCACAAUAAAAUCCGAUCCUGUAAACUGGUUACAAUAAAAUAGCAAUAUUGCCCUUUUGCUACUGUUUGAAUGUGUUAUCAGGAAAGCAAAUUUCCAUCUUGGUCUAUUGCCCAUUCAAUGCAAUAAAUUUCAAAUUAUAGAAUAUGAAAGGAAGGAGGUCUUAAACAAAACAAUGAUGAUACUAAAACUGUCUAAUUCAUACUUUUUUCAGGUAAAGUUUGGACAAAAGGUGCAAUUAUUUUUAUAGACUUGUUAAGGUAUUUUAAUUGCUAUUGUCAGAUGU